UACGAAGGGGGGCUAGCGUUGCUCGGAAUCACCGGGCGUAAAGCGCACGUAGGCGGAUUGUUAAGUCAGGGGUGAAAUCCUGGAGCUCAACUCCAGAACUGCCUUUGAUACUGGCGAUCUCGAGUCCGGGAGAGGUGAGUGGAACUGCGAGUGUAGAGGUGAAAUUCGUAGAUAUUCGCAAGAACACCAGUGGCGAAGGCGGCUCACUGGCCCGAUACGCGACG
rnacentral:rRNA from 1 species